rnacentral:tRNA from 1 species
UCCCUAGUGGCUCAGCUGGUAAAGAAUUUGCCUGCAAUGCAGGAGACCUGGGUUCAAUCCCUGGGUUGGGAA